CGAGUCGGCGAGGCGAUCGCGGCACCGGGCGACCGGCGUCGAGGAAAGUCCGGACUCCAUAGGACAGGGUGGUUGGCAACACCAACCCGGGGUGACCCGCGGGACAGUGCCACAGAGAACAGACCGCCCGACCGCCCGGCGCGAGCCGGUCGGAGCGGGUAAGGGUGAAACGGUGAGGUAAGAGCUCACCAGCGCCCGGGGUGACCCGGGCGGCUAGGUAAACCCCACCCGGAGCAAGGUCAAGAGGAGCGCGGGAGACCGCACUCUGCGCAGGCGUUUGAGGACGGUCCGUCCGAGCCUGCGGGUAGACCGCACGAGACGCGCGGCGACGCGCGUCCUAGAUGGAUGGUCGCCACCGCGCCGAGGCGCGGGACAGAAUCCGGCUUAUGACCGGCUCGCCGC
rnacentral:RNase_P_RNA from 1 species